rnacentral:lncRNA from 1 species
UAAGCACAAGUUUGCGGGAUCAAAUCCCGGCCACGGCAGCCGCAUUUCGAUGCGGGCGAAAUACGAAAAAACCCGCCUACUUGGAUUUAGAUGCACGUCAAAAAACCCCAGGUGGUCCAAAUUAUUCCGGAGUCACCCACUAUGGCGUGCCUCAUAAUCAGAUCGCGGUUUUGGCGCGUCAAACCCCCAUCAUGUUU